CAGUAUUUGGUACCAUGUCGAGGGGUACAAGCCUGCAAGCUCACCACCAACACUGAUGUGGUCUUGUGUGAGUCCUACCACAGAGACUGCUACACCAGAAAAGCUUCCUAAGAGCUUACAUGUUUUCUUGGCUCCAUAUUGUUGACUGACAAAGUAAAAUGCUGAAUUUUACCAUGUUGCUGCUGAUAAACUCGCAGAGAAAGUAUGAAGGAAUUUAAAUAAAGCUCACAAAGAGGCAGCCUUAACCUUCUGGGACCCAAAAGCCUGCAAUUCUUUCAUGUCUUCCCCAUCCAGCACCAUUCUCAGAAUGACAUGUUUUUAUUGAAAGGUCCAUUUGCAGUAGCUCAUAACUGCAUCAAGAACACCAACAGCUGAAACACCAGCCAUGGCUUUGGGGGAAAUCUGCUUUGGAGGGACAAAUUAAUAGUGGUGAUGGGGAUAAUUGGCUACUACCCCAUCCUGCCAGGGGAAAUCUCCACUUCAAAAGCUGUCAUCACCCAGCCAUCUAUCACCCCCCAACAGCCCCAGAGGAGUCAGA